GUGUUUGUAGCUUAACUGGAUAAAGCAUUAAACUACGAAUUUAGAGAGUGGAAGUUCAAAUCUUUCCAAACACA
rnacentral:tRNA from 2 species